rnacentral:rRNA from 1 species
GUGCCAGCCGCCGCGGUAAUACAGAGGGCGCGAGCGUUGUCCGGAAUCACUGGGCGUAAAGGGCGCGUAGGUGGCGGCAUAAGGCUGUGGUGAAAGUCUGGGGCUCAACUCCAGAUCGGCCGCGGCGACUGUGUCGCUUGGGCACCGUAGAGGCAGAUGGAAUUCCGGGUGUAGCGGUGGAAUGCGUAGAGAUCCGGAAGAACACCAGUGGCGAAGGCGGUCUGCUGGGCGGUGAGCUCGCGAGAGCUCAAUAGCCGACACUGAGGCGCGACAGCGUGGGGAGCAAACAGGAUUAGAAACCCGCGUAGUCC